rnacentral:rRNA from 1 species
UACACACCGCCCGUCACACCAUGGGAGUUGGUUCUACCCGAAGACUGUGCGCCAACUUCGGAGGCAGCAGGCCACGGUAGGGUCAGCGACUGGGGUG